CUAAACAGCACUUCUCGGACAGAUGCAAAAACACACCAACAGACAACUCCGUUGAGAUGAUGACGUUGAAGCUGAAGGACUGUGUCAAGUCUACCCAGAAGACUUUCUUGUACAAGAUUAACCUUUCAAGUGACGUAGUGAUGUUGAGGCUAAGCAACACUUUUUGGACACGAGCAAAAAUACCAACAGCAGACAACAUGAUUGAUUUGAUGACCUUGGAGAUGACAUUGAGGCUAUUCAACACUUUUUGGACAGAGUGCACCAGCCGAAGAAGGACUGUGCCAGUCUAGCUCGAUGACUGUGUGCAACAAGUUCACUGAACCGUACAAGUGACGUAGGGGUGUUGUGGGGGAUCUAACCACCACUUUGUGGACUGAACAGCUGGAGAUCUUCGUCAUAGUCCAAAUGACAAAGGGACAAUACAUGAUAGAACACUUAUCAGAGCAAACUGUCCUCAUAAAGGUGAUUUUACACAUGGUUGUACCAUGGAACUUCGUUGUAGUUACUUAAUAUUGUUCACCAUCAAAAGCUUCAAUGCUUUUUGGACUGUCGCUGACUUAAAAGGACUGUCAAUUUUAGCCAGAUGAUCACCCACGCUCAACUGAAACAAAAUGGACCAUGAUGGCGCCUGCUAUGAUGACGCUUGAGUGGAGGACCACAUACAUGAAGAACCAUAGGACCAGGGCCAAUUUCAUAGAGCUGCUUAGCCAGAAAAUAUUGCUUAACAACUUUCUGCUAACAGAAAUGAGCAGGA